AGUGAACGCUGGCGGUAGGCCUAACACAUGCAAGUCGAACGGCAGCACAGUAAGAGCUUGCUCUUACGGGUGGCGAGUGGCGGACGGGUGAGGAAUACAUCGGAAUCUACUUUUUCGUGGGGGAUCACGUAGGGAAACUUACGCUAAUACCGCAUACGACCUACGGGUGAAAGCAGUGGAUCUUCGGACCUUGCGCGAUUGAAUGAGCCGAUGUCGGAUUAGCUAGUUGGCGGGGUAAAGGCCCACCAAGGCGACGAUCCGUAGCUGGUCUGAGAGGAUGAUCAGCCACACUGGAACUGAGACACGGUCAAGACUCCUACGGGAGGCAGCAGUGGGGAAUAUUGGGCAAUGGGCGCAAGCCUGAUCCAGCCAUACCGCGUGGGUGAAGAAGGCCUUCGGGUUGUAAAGCCCUUUUGUUGGGAAAGAAAAGCAGCAGGUUGAUACCCCGCUGUUGUGACGGUACCCAAAGAAUAAGCACCGGCUAACUUCGUG
rnacentral:rRNA from 1 species